UUAAGCGACUAAGCGUACACGGUGGAUGCCCUGGCAGUCAGAGGCGAUGAAGGACGUGCUAAUCUGCGAUAAGCGUCGGUAAGGUGAUAUGAACCGUUAUAACCGGCGAUUUCCGAAUGGGGAAACCCAGUGUGUUUCGACACACUAUCAUUAACUGAAUCCAUAGGUUAAUGAGGCGAACCGGGGGAACUGAAACAUCUAAGUACCCCGAGGAAAAGAAAUCAACCGAGAUUCCCCCAGUAGCGGCGAGCGAACGGGGAGGAGCCCAGAGCCUGAAUCAGUGUGUGUGUUAGUGGAAGCGUCUGGAAAGGCGCGCGAUACAGGGUGACAGCCCCGUACACAAAAAUGCACAUGCUGUGAGCUCGAUGAGUAGGGCGGGACACGUGGUAUCCUGUCUGAAUAUGGGGGGACCAUCCUCCAAGGCUAAAUACUCCUGACUGACCGAUAGUGAACCAGUACCGUGAGGGAAAGGCGAAAAGAACCCCGGCGAGGGGAGUGAAAAAGAACCUGAAACCGUGUACGUACAAGCAGUGGGAGCACGCUUAGGCGUGUGACUGCGUACCUUUUGUAUAAUGGGUCAGCGACUUAUAUUCUGUAGCAAGGUUAACCGAAUAGGGGAGCCGAAGGGAAACCGAGUCUUAACUGGGCGUUAAGUUGCAGGGUAUAGACCCGAAACCCGGUGAUCUAGCCAUGGGCAGGUUGAAGGUUGGGUAACACUAACUGGAGGACCGAACCGACUAAUGUUGAAAAAUUAGCGGAUGACUUGUGGCUGGGGGUGAAAGGCCAAUCAAACCGGGAGAUAGCUGGUUCUCCCCGAAAGCUAUUUAGGUAGCGCCUCGUGAAUUCAUCUCCGGGGGUAGAGCACUGUUUCGGCAAGGGGGUCAUCCCGACUUACCAACCCGAUGCAAACUGCGAAUACCGGAGAAUGUUAUCACGGGAGACACACGGCGGGUGCUAACGUCCGUCGUGAAGAGGGAAACAACCCAGACCGCCAGCUAAGGUCCCAAAGUCAUGGUUAAGUGGGAAACGAUGUGGGAAGGCCCAGACAGCCAGGAUGUUGGCUUAGAAGCAGCCAUCAUUUAAAGAAAGCGUAAUAGCUCACUGGUCGAGUCGGCCUGCGCGGAAGAUGUAACGGGGCUAAACCAUGCACCGAAGCUGCGGCAGCGACACUGAUGCGUUGUUGGGUAGGGGAGCGUUCUGUAAGCCUGUGAAGGUGUACUGUGAGGUAUGCUGGAGGUAUCAGAAGUGCGAAUGCUGACAUAAGUAACGAUAAAGCGGGUGAAAAGCCCGCUCGCCGGAAGACCAAGGGUUCCUGUCCAACGUUAAUCGGGGCAGGGUGAGUCGACCCCUAAGGCGAGGCCGAAAGGCGUAGUCGAUGGGAAACAGGUUAAUAUUCCUGUACUUGGUGUUACUGCGAAGGGGGGACGGAGAAGGCUAUGUUGGCCGGGCGACGGUUGUCCCGGUUUAAGCGUGUAGGCUGGUUUUCCAGGCAAAUCCGGAAAAUCAAGGCUGAGGCGUGAUGACGAGGCACUACGGUGCUGAAGCAACAAAUGCCCUGCUUCCAGGAAAAGCCUCUAAGCAUCAGGUAACAUCAAAUCGUACCCCAAACCGACACAGGUGGUCAGGUAGAGAAUACCAAGGCGCUUGAGAGAACUCGGGUGAAGGAACUAGGCAAAAUGGUGCCGUAACUUCGGGAGAAGGCACGCUGAUAUGUAGGUGAAGCGACUUGCUCGUGGAGCUGAAAUCAGUCGAAGAUACCAGCUGGCUGCAACUGUUUAUUAAAAACACAGCACUGUGCAAACACGAAAGUGGACGUAUACGGUGUGACGCCUGCCCGGUGCCGGAAGGUUAAUUGAUGGGGUUAGCCGCAAGGCGAAGCUCUUGAUCGAAGCCCCGGUAAACGGCGGCCGUAACUAUAACGGUCCUAAGGUAGCGAAAUUCCUUGUCGGGUAAGUUCCGACCUGCACGAAUGGCGUAAUGAUGGCCAGGCUGUCUCCACCCGAGACUCAGUGAAAUUGAACUCGCUGUGAAGAUGCAGUGUACCCGCGGCAAGACGGAAAGACCCCGUGAACCUUUACUAUAGCUUGACACUGAACAUUGAGCCUUGAUGUGUAGGAUAGGUGGGAGGCUUUGAAGUGUGGACGCCAGUCUGCAUGGAGCCGACCUUGAAAUACCACCCUUUAAUGUUUGAUGUUCUAACGUUGACCCGUGAUCCGGGUUGCGGACAGUGUCUGGUGGGUAGUUUGACUGGGGCGGUCUCCUCCUAAAGAGUAACGGAGGAGCACGAAGGUUGGCUAAUCCUGGUCGGACAUCAGGAGGUUAGUGCAAUGGCAUAAGCCAGCUUGACUGCGAGCGUGACGGCGCGAGCAGGUGCGAAAGCAGGUCAUAGUGAUCCGGUGGUUCUGAAUGGAAGGGCCAUCGCUCAACGGAUAAAAGGUACUCCGGGGAUAACAGGCUGAUACCGCCCAAGAGUUCAUAUCGACGGCGGUGUUUGGCACCUCGAUGUCGGCUCAUCACAUCCUGGGGCUGAAGUAGGUCCCAAGGGUAUGGCUGUUCGCCAUUUAAAGUGGUACGCGAGCUGGGUUUAGAACGUCGUGAGACAGUUCGGUCCCUAUCUGCCGUGGGCGCUGGAGAACUGAGGGGGGCUGCUCCUAGUACGAGAGGACCGGAGUGGACGCAUCACUGGUGUUCGGGUUGUCAUGCCAAUGGCACUGCCCGGUAGCUAAAUGCGGAAGAGAUAAGUGCUGAAAGCAUCUAAGCACGAAACUUGCCCCGAGAUGAGUUCUCCCUGACUCCUUGAGAGUCCUGAAGGAACGUUGAAGACGACGACGUUGAUAGGCCGGGUGUGUAAGCGCAGCGAUGCGUUGAGCUAACCGGUACUAAUGAACCGUGAGGCUUAACCUU
rnacentral:rRNA from 1 species